rnacentral:rRNA from 1 species
GRGKGUCKKACUUACACUCCCAAACCCCAUGUGAACUUAUACCCUUUUCCUGUUGCCUCGGCGGGUCAUUUGCCCCGGACCGGGCUCGUCCAGAGCCCGCCCGGAAACAGGCGCCCGCCGCGGGACCGAAACUCUGUAUCUCUUAGCCUUUGGCACGUCUGAGUGGAAUCAUACAAAAAUGAAUCAAAACUUUCAACAACGGAUCUCUUGGUUCUGGCAUCGAUGAAGAACGCAGCGAAAUGCGAUAAGUAAUGUGAAUUGCAGAAUUCAGUGAAUCAUCGAAUCUUUGAACGCACAUUGCGCCCGCCAGUAUUCUGGCGGGCAUGCCUGUUCGAGCGUCAUUUCAACCCUCAAGCCCCCGCGGUUUGGUGUUGGGGGCCGGCGAUUGUCAGCUGGGCCGCUCAGGCGGUUCCCUGCGGCGCCGCCCCCGAAAUGAAUUGGCGGCCCCGUCGCGGCCUCCUCUGCGUAGUAGCACAACCUCGCAACAGGAGCGCGGCGCGGCCACUGCCGUAAAACGCACAAACUUCUCCAAGAGUUGACCUCGAAUCAGGUAGGAAUWCCCSCUSC